rnacentral:lncRNA from 1 species
UCUAAAAAUUAACAAAUUGGCAUUUUACUACAUCAUUUCCAAACAACACGAAACAAAUAAUGCUGAAUAACAUGCCUGACGUGGGUGUAGACAGCUGCUGUUCUGACCGCAGUCUACUGACUAUUGACUCAUUGCACUUGGAGGAACUGCGGUGAUUUAAAACUGGGGUCUAGAAGUGUUGCUGGUUUCAACACACUGUGAGGUGGUUUUGUUUAAAUAGGAAAGUUCUGCCGAACAAAUGCAACAUUUAUAUGAUUAUAUGAUUAGUAAACUUAGUGUCACUUUGAUUAAUUAAUUAAUUAAUUAAUCUGAAUUCUUGGAGAUCAAGUAAAAACUUGAACAGGAUGAAACAACAAGGAAAUAAAAGAGAUUUAUUUUCCGAUAUCAGAUCAAAAUGGUCGCACACGGCGGGAACCUUUCUUUUGGCUUGAGGCUGUUGUAUAAUUAUAGAUGAAUUUGACGAUAAAUGGCAAACGCUUAGGGAUUCCUUUCGGCAGAUGUAACCCGACACAUGCGCUUCCUUAUAAACACAGUUUGGCGCGUCAGACAGUGAUAUAGAAAUAUAGGAACCGUGUCGGUCACGUGACUUUCCCAAAGCGAUACGCUCACCGUCACCGGGUUUCGCUCUUUGAGCUCGACGCAUGCGCCGACGCAUCGGCGUCCUAUCACUACCAGGUUCCCACCUCCAUCACCUGUCGCCUUGCACGUGCGGGUCCAACCAGCAAGGGCACGAGAAGAAGACGAUGGUCGUCACUGUUGAUAUCCUGAAACUUUGACUAAACCCCGUAUUUGUUUCUUUGUGGUUACAUCCUUUAUUGAUAAAUGCUUCGACGUUAAGACAUUCGUCGAGGGAGCGAAACAGUUCAACACUCCAGUAGGGCCAAGCACAGUUUUCGGCAUCAGCAGCUGCCACUAGAUACCACACACUGAAUCUACGGCUACUCUGGCACAUGCCACGCAUGUAAAAAACGGUCCAUGUAUCUGGUACAUGGGCUAUUUCAAGCUGUCAAUAAAAGUUCUACUGAAUAUGGCAGGAGGCAAGCACAUCUGCAACGGUGGAAGGUACUUCUGCGGAUGAGGAGACAGUGUCACUGGACUCCGCGAGGAUUUAGGCGGACACAGAGACUCUGCAGGCUGAAAUGCAAUCUGGAAACAUAAAUUCACAACAGUCAGAUGUCUCUACGCCACACAUCUUAAGAGAUAGAUACAGCUGACUGAACUGCAGGUCAGGGAGAAGAAGAGAACGCUGGAAGAAAUAAACCUUGAUGUGCAGAUAAAGAGCA